rnacentral:rRNA from 1 species
AGCGAACGCUGGCGGCAGGCCUAAUACAUGCAAGUCGAGCGGCCGUAGCAAUACGGCAGCGGCAGACGGGAGAGUAACACGUGGGAACGUACCUUUCGGUUCGGAACAACCCAGGGAAACUUGGGCUAAUACCGGAUACGUCCGUAAGGAGAAAGAUUUAUCGCCGAAAGAUCGGCCCGCGUCUGAUUAGCUUGUUGGUGAGGUAACGGCUCACCAAGGCGACGAUCAAUAGUUGGUCUGAGAGGAUGACCAGCCAGAGUGGGACUGAGAACGGCCCACACUUCUACGGAAGGCAGCAGUAGGGAAUUUUGCGCAAUGGGCGAAAGCCUGACGCAGCAACACCGCGUGCGGGAUGAAGGCCCUCGGGUUGUAAACCGCUGUCGGCAGGGAAUAAAUUGACUGUACCUGCAAAGGAAGCACCGGCUAACUACGUGCCAGCCGCCGCGGUAA